rnacentral:rRNA from 1 species
UUGACCUCAAAUCAGGUAGGACUACCCGCUGAACUA